UACGGAGGGUGCAAGCGUUAUCCGGAAUCACUGGGUUUAAAGGGUGCGUAGGCGGCCUAAUAAGUCAGUCGUGAAAUCGCUGGGCUUAACCCAUGCAACUGCGAUUGAUACUGCUAGGCUUGAAUGGGGUUGAGGCUGGCGGAAUGCGACAUGUAGCGGUGAAAUGCUUAGAUAUGUCGCAGAACACCGAUUGCGAAGGCAGCCAGCUGGGCCUUGAUUGACGCUGAGGCACGAAAGCGUGGGGAGCAAACAGG
rnacentral:rRNA from 1 species